GGGCCCGCACAAGCAGCGGAGCGUGUGGUUUAAUUCGACGCAACGCGCAGAACCUUACCCAGACUUGACAUGCUACUGCAAGAUGGUGAAAGCCAUUCGCCUUCGAGGGUGUAGCACAGAUGCUGCAUGGCUGUCGUCAGCUCGUGUCGUGAGAUGUUGGGUUAAGUCCCGCAACGAGCGCAACCCCCGCGGCCAGUUACAGGUGUCUGGCCGGACGGCCCUUCGGGGAGGAAGGCGGGGAUGACGUCAAGUCCGCAUGGCUCUUACGUCUGGGGCGACACACACGCUACAAUGGCGCCGACAGCGCGCAGCGACCCAGCAAUGGGGAGCGAAUCGCCAAACGGCGCCUCAGUGCAGAUCGGGGGCUGCAACUCGCCCCCGUGAAGGCGGAGUUGCUAGUAACCGCGUAUCAGCCACGGCGCGGUGAAUACGUACCCGGGCCUU
rnacentral:rRNA from 1 species